rnacentral:tRNA from 1 species
GCCGCCGUAGCUCAGCAGGUAGAGCGCCGGCCUCGUAAGCCGGAAGUCGCGGGUUCGAAUCCCGCCGGCGGCUCCA